rnacentral:lncRNA from 1 species
AAAAAUUUAUACUCAUGGCAGCGACAAUAAUGACUCAGUAACAAAGUGUCCAGAAAUAAAUAUAGUGAGCUCGAUGCUUCAAAAAAAUACAGAGAGCUCGAGACAAAAGGAUCUGGUACUUAUUUCUUGUGGGUGAGCGUGAGCUUGGUAUGGUUCGAAACUGAUUUGAAAUGCGGGGAUUGAAAAUACAAACAUCUUUGAUCGUAAAAUAAAUUGGUGGAAUUCGUAAAUAAGAUAGUGAGGAAUAUAAAUCUGAUUUUUUUUUUUAAGAUCGAAUUUUGUGGUGUGCGGAAAUGGCCUUUGAAGGCGGAGGAGCUCUAACAAGAACAGUGGUAGUUUGUUGAGUUGUUUGGUGUCGGUGAUAGAGUUUGACAAGGGGAGAAAAAUGGCGGUGGUGGCACGUCCAUUGGUGGUAGCUGGUCGGUAGUGGAGAUACUCUGUUGCUAUAUAUUUUGG